rnacentral:rRNA from 1 species
UACGUAGGGGGCGAGCGUUACCCGGAUUUACUGGGCGUAAAGAGCGUGUAGGCGGCUGGCCAAGCGUGAUGUGAAAUCUUCGGGCUUAACCCGAAAACUGCAUUGCGAACUGGUCUGGCUAGAGUGUGUGAGAGGUAGUGGAAUUCCCGGUGUAGCGGUGAAAUGCGGUAGAUAUCGGGAGGAACACCAGUGGCGAAGGCGGCUACCUGGCACAUACUGACGCUGAUACGCGAAAGCGUGGGGAGCGAACCGG